UUCCAACAGCCACAAGAACAAUACACAGACAAACAAAAAAAGCAUGAAGAACAUCGUACACCAAAUACUGUCACAUUAAACAUAGUAAAUGACAAAAAGAUAAAUAUUCAAAGUUUGAUGAAAAGCUAUCAACUGUCACUUUCACCUGGAUCCUUGUCUUUGUACUUUUACAUUGCAUAUCAGUUCAUACAGGAAAAGAACUACGAAAACAAAGACAAAGAUUUACAGUUACUCUUGCUGGAAGCUAUCAUAGCAGACCGUGUGGAUUAUGUGUCAGCCAUGCUACAGAAUGGAGUCGAAUUCAAUUAUAAUCACUUUGAAACAUUAUAU